rnacentral:tRNA from 2 species
GUCAGGAUAGCUCAGUG